rnacentral:lncRNA from 10 species
GGAGGUAAUUGGAUCAUGGGGGCAGUUUCCCUAAUGCUGUUCUUGUGAUAGUGAGUUAGUUCUUACGAGAUCUGAUGGUUUUAUAAGCAUCUGGCAUUUGCUUUGCUUGCACUCACUCCAUUCUGCUGCCCUGUGAACAAGAUAAUUAAUACAAAAUAUUUGUGGACAUUUACCACCCAAUGGUGGGCAGGGGGAGCGCAUGCUGAAACAAUAUUAGCAUCUGCCUCAAAAAUGAAUCGUUAUUUUAAGAAGAUUAUGUCUGAAGACCACAAUUUAAUAGAUUUACAUUGAUCAUCCACUAUGUUCCAGAUACUACAUGAUACUAACAAGACAACAGGAGAAGUGAUAUCAAAAGACAACGACUACACCAAAAUUUGGAGAAAAAGGUGAAUCCAGACAGUCACAGGGACGUGGAUGAAGCUGGAGGCAUUAUCCUUGGCAAACUUACACAGGAGCAGAAAACCAAAUACCACAUGUUCUCACCUGUAAGUGGGAGCUAAAUUAUGAGAACAUGUAGACACAUAGAGAGGAACAACACACACUGGGGCCUAUUGGAACGUGGAGGGUGGGAGGAGGGAGAGGAUCAAGAAAAACAUUUAGUGGGUACUAGACUUAAUACCUGGAUGAUGAAAUAAUCUGUACAACAAACCUCCAUGACACCCAUUUACCUGUGUAACAAACCUGCACAUGUAUUCCUGAACUUGAAAUAAAAGUUUUUUUAAGUGUAACUUACCAUUUUAAAAAAUAGUAUUUUUAA